rnacentral:rRNA from 1 species
UAAUGUAGUGGGGCUUAUAAAGUACACCGCCGAAACCGCGGCAACACACAUUGUGUGUGUUGGGUAGGGGAGCGUCGUGCACGCUGAGAAGCUGUCACGGAAGUGGUGGUGGAGUGUGUGCGAGUGAGAAUGCAGGCAUGAGUAGCGAAAAACAUGUGGAAAACGUGUUCGCCGGAUGACUAAGGGUUCCUGGGUGAAGCUAAUCUUCCCAGGGUGAGUCGGGACCUAAGGCGAGGCCGACAGGCGUAGUCGAUGGAUAACGGGUUGAUAGUCCCGUACCCGUGUAUGCGCGACAAGUGGUGACUCGGUUGUACUAACCACCCACCACCGCGGGAUCAAUGCUUUUGGUGUUGGUUUGGUGUGUGGUGCGUGGGAUCUUGAUCGUUGGUAGCCAAGCGAUGGGGUGACACAGAUUGGUAGUCAAGGCCACUUAGUGGAUUGUGGUGUAAGCGUGUGGCCCGUAGGAUAGGUAAAUCCGUUCUGCAUAUAGGGUGAGGCGUGAUGCGUACCCAGAUUGUUGGGGAUGUUUGAUGUGCCUGUGCUGUCGAGAAAAGCCUCUAGCGAUGUGUGUGCACGGCCCGUACCGGAAACCGACACAGGUGGUCUGGUUGAGGAUACUAAGGCGUUCGGGUGAACUAUGGUUAAGGAACUCGGCAAAAUGCCCCCGUAACUUCGGGAGAAGGGGGGCCAUGUGCGGCAAUCACCCCUUGUGCGGUGUGCGUUGUGUGUGGCCGCAGAGAAGUGAGGGAAGCGACUGUUUAUUAAAAACACAGGUCCGUGCGAAGACGUUGCAAGUCGAGGUAUACGGACUGACGCCUGCCCGGUGCUGGAAGGUUAAGAGGACUCGUGAGCAUGCCCUGGUGGUGUGUGAGGCGGGUAAUUGAAGCCCCAGUAAACGGCGGUGGUAACUAUAACCAUCCUAAGGUAGCGAAAUUCCUUGUCGGGUAAGUUCCGACCUGCACGAAUGGCGUAACGACUUCCCUGCUGUCUCAACCAUAGGCCCGGUGAAAUUGCAGUACGAGUAAAGAUGCUCGUUUCGCGCGGCAGGACGAAAAGACCCCGGGACCUUUACUAUAGCUUGGUAUUGGUGUGUGCUGCAGCUUGUGUAGGAUAGGUGGGAGACGUGGAAGCAUUCACGCUAGUGGGUGUGGAGUCAUUGGUGAAAUACCACUCUGGUUGUUGUGUGCAUCUAACUGUGGGCCCUGAUCGGGUUUUGGGACAGUGCCUGGUGGGUAGUUUAACUGGGGCGGUUGCCUCCUAAAUGGUAACGGAGGCGCCCAAAGGUUCCCUCGGCUUGGUUGGUAAUCAGGUUGUAGAGUGUAAGUGCAGUAAGGGAGCUUGACUGUGACACUGACGGGUGGAGCAGGUGCGAAAGCAGGGACUAGUGAUCCGGCAUCUACGUGUGGUUGUGGUGUCGCUCAACGGAUAAAAGGUACCCCGGGGAUAACAGGCUGAUCUUCCCCAAGAGUUCAUAUCGACGGGAUGGUUUGGCACCUCGAUGUCGGCUCGUCGCAUCCUGGGGCUGGAGUAGGUCCCAAGGGUUGGGCUGUUCGCCCAUUAAAGCGGCACGCGAGCUGGGUUUAGAACGUCGUGAGACAGUUCGGUCUCUAUCCGCCGCGCGCGUUGAAACUUGAAGAAGGCUGUCCCUAGUACGAGAGGACCGGGAUGGACGUACCUCUGGUAUGCCAGUUGUCACGCCAGUGGCAUGGCUGGUUAGCUACGUGCGGGAGGGAUAACCGCUGAAAGCAUCUAAGCGGGAAGCCUGUUUUAAGAUGAGGUUUCUGUUGAGGUUCCCUAUAGAUGAUGGGGUUGAUAGGCCAGGGCUGUGAGCAUGGUGACGUGUUGGAGGUGACUGGUACUAAUAUACCGACACAAAAAACACA